GGUUAAGCGACUAAGCGUACACGGUGGAUGCCCUGGCAGUCAGAGGCGAUGAAGGACGUGCUAAUCUGCGAAAAGCGUCGGUAAGGUGAUAUGAACCGUUAUAACCGGCGAUGUCCGAAUGGGGAAACCCAGUGCAAUUCGUUGCACUAUCGUUAACUGAAUACAUAGGUUAACGAGGCGAACCGGGGGAACUGAAACAUCUAAGUACCCCGAGGAAAAGAAAUCAACCGAGAUUCCCCCAGUAGCGGCGAGCGAACGGGGAGCAGCCCAGAGUCUGAAUCAGCUUGUGUGUUAGUGGAACGGUCUGGAAAGUCCGACGGUACAGGGUGAUAGUCCCGUACACCAAAAUGCACAGGCUGUGAACUCGAAGAGUAGGGCGGGACACGUGGUAUCCUGUCUGAAUAUGGGGGGACCAUCCUCCAAGGCUAAAUACUCCUGACUGACCGAUAGUGAACCAGUACCGUGAGGGAAAGGCGAAAAGAACCCCGGCGAGGGGAGUGAAAAAGAACCUGAAACCGUGUACGUACAAGCAGUGGGAGCACCUUCGGGUGUGACUGCGUACCUUUUGUAUAAUGGGUCAGCGACUUAUAUUCUGUAGCAAGGUUAACCAUAUAGGGGAGCCGCAGGGAAACCGAGUCUUAACUGGGCGUUAAGUUGCAGGGUAUAGACCCGAAACCCGGUGAUCUAGCCAUGGGCAGGUUGAAGGUUGGGUAACACUAACUGGAGGACCGAACCGACUAAUGUUGAAAAAUUAGCGGAUGACUUGUGGCUGGGGGUGAAAGGCCAAUCAAACCGGGAGAUAGCUGGUUCUCCCCGAAAGCUAUUUAGGUAGCGCCUCGUGAAUUCAUCUUCGGGGGUAGAGCACUGUUUCGGCUAGGGGGUCAUCCCGACUUACCAACCCGAUGCAAACUACGAAUACCGAAGAAUGUUAUCACGGGAGACACACGGCGGGUGCUAACGUCCGUCGUGAAGAGGGAAACAACCCAGACCGCCAGCUAAGGUCCCAAAGUCAUGGUUAAGUGGGAAACGAUGUGGGAAGGCACAGACAGCCAGGAUGUUGGCUUAGAAGCAGCCAUCAUUUAAAGAAAGCGUAAUAGCUCACUGGUCGAGUCGGCCUGCGCGGAAGAUGUAACGGGGCUAAACCAUGCACCGAAGCUGCGGCAGCGACACUAUGUGUUGUUGGGUAGGGGAGCGUUCUGUAAGCCUGCGAAGGUGACCUGUGAGGGUUGCUGGAGGUAUCAGAAGUGCGAAUGCUGACAUAAGUAACGAUAAAGCGGGUGAAAAGCCCGCUCGCCGGAAGACCAAGGGUUCCUGUCCAACGUUAAUCGGGGCAGGGUGAGUCGACCCCUAAGGCGAGGCCGAAAGGCGUAGUCGAUGGGAAACAGGUUAAUAUUCCUGUACUUGGUGUUACUGCGAAGGGGGGACGGAGAAGGCUAUGUUAGCCGGGCGACGGUUGUCCCGGUUUAAGCAUGUAGGCUGGUUAUCCAGGCAAAUCCGGAUAAUCAAGGCUGAGGUGUGAUGACGAGGCACUACGGUGCUGAAGUAACAAAUGCCCUGCUUCCAGGAAAAGCCUCUAAGCAUCAGGUAACAUCAAAUCGUACCCCAAACCGACACAGGUGGUCAGGUAGAGAAUACCAAGGCGCUUGAGAGAACUCGGGUGAAGGAACUAGGCAAAAUGGUGCCGUAACUUCGGGAGAAGGCACGCUGGUGUGUAGGUGAAGCCCCUGCGGGUGGAGCUGAGACCAGUCGAAGAUACCAGCUGGCUGCAACUGUUUAUUAAAAACACAGCACUGUGCAAACACGAAAGUGGACGUAUACGGUGUGACGCCUGCCCGGUGCCGGAAGGUUAAUUGAUGGGGUUAUCCGUAAGGAGAAGCUCUUGAUCGAAGCCCCGGUAAACGGCGGCCGUAACUAUAACGGUCCUAAGGUAGCGAAAUUCCUUGUCGGGUAAGUUCCGACCUGCACGAAUGGCGUAAUGAUGGCCAGGCUGUCUCCACCCGAGACUCAGUGAAAUUGAACUCGCUGUGAAGAUGCAGUGUACCCGCGGCAAGACGGAAAGACCCCGUGAACCUUUACUAUAGCUUGACACUGAACAUUGAGCCUUGAUGUGUAGGAUAGGUGGGAGGCUUUGAAGCGUGGACGCCAGUCUGCGUGGAGCCAACCUUGAAAUACCACCCUUUAAUGUUUGAUGUUCUAACGUUGGCCCCUGACCGGGGUUGCGGACAGUGUCUGGUGGGUAGUUUGACUGGGGCGGUCUCCUCCCAAAGCGUAACGGAGGAGCACGAAGGUUAGCUAAUCCUGGUCGGACAUCAGGAGGUUAGUGCAAUGGCAUAAGCUAGCUUGACUGCGAGCGUGACGGCGCGAGCAGGUGCGAAAGCAGGUCAUAGUGAUCCGGUGGUUCUGAAUGGAAGGGCCAUCGCUCAACGGAUAAAAGGUACUCCGGGGAUAACAGGCUGAUACCGCCCAAGAGUUCAUAUCGACGGCGGUGUUUGGCACCUCGAUGUCGGCUCAUCACAUCCUGGGGCUGAAGUAGGUCCCAAGGGUAUGGCUGUUCGCCAUUUAAAGUGGUACGCGAGCUGGGUUUAGAACGUCGUGAGACAGUUCGGUCCCUAUCUGCCGUGGGCGCUGGAGAAUUGAGGGGGGCUGCUCCUAGUACGAGAGGACCGGAGUGGACGCAUCACUGGUGUUCGGGUUGUCAUGCCAAUGGCACUGCCCGGUAGCUAAAUGCGGAAGAGAUAAGUGCUGAAAGCAUCUAAGCACGAAACUUGCCCCGAGAUGAGUUCUCCCUGAGACUUUAAGUCUCCUGAAGGAACGUUGAAGACGACGACGUUGAUAGGCCGGGUGUGUAAGCGCAGCGAUGCGUUGAGCUAACCGGUACUAAUGAACCGUGAGGCUUAACCUU
rnacentral:rRNA from 1 species